AUAUUGGUGAGAGACCGAUAGCGAACAAGUACCGUGAGGGAAAGAUGAAAAGCACUUUGGAAAGAGAGUUAAACAGUACGUGAAAUUGUUGAAAGGGAAACGAUUGAAGUCAGUCAUGUCUGUUGGUUUCAGCUUGCUCUGCAAGUGUAUUACCUUCAGACGGGUCAACAUCAGUUUUGGUGCGGUGGAUAAGAACGGAUUGAAGGUGGCACCCUCGGGUGUGUUAUAGCUUUCUGUUGCAUACACUGCCUGAGGCUGAGGACUGCAGCUCGCCCCCACGGGCCGGCCUUCGGGCACGUUCGAGCUUAGGAUGUUGGCAUAAUGGCUUUAAACGACCCGUCUUGAAACACGGACC
rnacentral:rRNA from 1 species